UUAAAACGCUGAUGUUUCCCUUCUCCUAAGUCAGGCUGCCAGAGGUGCAAGUUCCACCGUCUGCUAACUGAAGGCAUCUGUGGAAUGAAUAUAAAAGGAUGAAGCGAGGUGACCCCAGCAUUGAGCACUCUGUACCUCCUGACAGGAGAGAGUGUGACCUACAGUCUCAUGCUGCUGUUGACAUGUUUCUCCUGCUGUCUUGGAUUCCCAUUCAAACUAUAAGCCGCAAUAGAGCCGUUCUUCCUUAAGUUCCUUUGGUCGGUGUGUCUCGUGUCUCGUCACGGCCAACAAGAAUGCGUGUCUUGGAAAGUAAAACUCAGUGGAUUGGAGCCAAUGAGAAGGUAGAUGACCAGUUCAGAAGAGCCAUCCGGAGUAGAAAAGGAAAUGGGGCUGUAUUCACUACUCAACACACACUGGAGAUCCCUUUCUCUACAUGCCACCGGCCAAAGUCCUUCCCUUCCAGUUCUGAGAGACCUUACCCACCUGGACCUUUCCAUGGGAAGCUUCGCAUUGCCAAUGACCACCUGCAUCACAGUUUCUGUCCCAUACCACUCACAUCACAGUGCCCCUGUCCCAUCCCAUCCAUCCACAUAACAGUGCCCCCUGUCCCAUACCACCCACAGCACAGUGUGCCCUGUCCCAUACCACCCACAGCAGAGUGUGCCCUGUCCCAUCCUGGCUGCUGAUUUCAUCUCUCUUGGAUGACUAACAUCUAUUGUCUUAGGAGGUCGUCAUCUUCUCCAUUGGAGUCCCACAGCAGCAUCUCGCACCAUAAUGGUCUUAGGACUGUUGUCAAGGUCAUUUUGGACUUGUCCAACACUAAAAAAUAACUACCGUGGAAGCACUUGUUUUCACAAGAACUCUGCACGGAGAUAGUGUCUAUCCAGUUAUAACAAGAAUAAACAGAAAGAGGCCAGGCGGC